rnacentral:misc_RNA from 1 species
CUCCACACAAGCGGCACUAUAAAAAUGCCGUCUAGUUCCCUUUUCGUGGAUCUGAGCUGCUUGUCUCUUGCUCGUGCAAGCUAAAACCCAGUGCUGGGGAUAUUUGUUGAAGACAACUUAAAAAGAACCAAGUCCUUUCAAGAUGAGCCGGCCAAUGGAGGAAGAGGGUAGCAAGAAUGAGGAGGAGGAGUUCAAUACAGGACCUCUUUCAGUACUCAUGAUGAGUGUCAAAAAUAACACACAGGU